AUACGUAGGGGGCGAGCGUUGUCCGGAAUGAUUGGGCGUAAAGGGCGCGUAGGCGGCCUGUUAAGUCUGGAGUGAAAGUCCUGUUUUCAAGAUGGGAAUUGCUUUGGAUACCGAUGGGCUUGAGUGCAGGAGAGGUUAUCGGAAUUCCCGGUGUAGCGGUGAAAUGCGUAGAGAUCGGGAGGAACACCAGUGGCGAAGGCGGGUAACUGGACUGCAACUGACGCUGAGGCGCGAAAGUGUGGGGAGCAAACAGGAUUAGAUACCCUGGUAGUCCACACUGUAAACGAUGAAUGCUAGGUGUAAGAGGUAUCGACCCCUUUUGUGCCGGAGUUAACACAAUAAGCAUUCCGCCUGGGGAGUACGGCCGCAAGGUUGAAACUCAAAGGAAUUGACGGGG
rnacentral:rRNA from 1 species